rnacentral:tRNA from 1 species
GCGUCCGUCGUCUAGUGGCAGGAUCUCACCCUUCCAAGGUGAUGACUUGGGUUCAAAUCCCAACGGACGCA